ensembl:lncRNA
AUGAGAAUGAUGUGUGACAAUAGACAUUGUUAUGCAAAGGUCUUCAAGGGAGAAAUGACUCAAGUCACAAAAUGUUCAGAAGGCCACAUCAUCAAUGAAGAGACAAAACCAUUCUGGACUCUCCCUCUGUCACUGAAAGAUACUGCUGAUACAACCUACAGUGUGCAAAACAGCUUUCAACAGAAUUUCCCAACCAAAACAUACACAGGAGAUAACAUGGUGCACUGCAAUAAAUGUAACAAGAAAACAGAGGAAACAAUUGUGAGUUUUGACCUCAAAUUAAAACCCCAAACUGUAUUCGAGUCAAAUUAUAUGCUCGUUAAUACUGUGAUUAAAAUAUAUAGUGUUUAAUAAUAUUUCUUGUGUUAUUUAGGAAAGUGAGAUGGUAGAAGCCCCUCAGAUUCUGACUCUACUCCUCAAGAGACCUGACACAAAGUCACGUGGCAAAUCACACCGCUGUGUGGAUGUGCCACCUGAAUUACAGUUAAAGGCAGGGAAUAUUGUCAUUCAUUAUAUGUGAUUUAUAUCUGAAUGGAGUUUCUUUUCGUUGCUUUAAAAAUCUUUUAUUUACCUGACUGUGUUCUUCACCAUAGAACAAGACGUUCAAACUGUAUGGGAUGGUGAAUCUUGUAGGCGGUCUACAGGGUGGAUAUCACACAGCCACCAUCCUUUCCAAUGAGGACAACACCUGGUAUGAGUUUCAUGACGAACAAGUUAAAACGGUAAGCAAGAUUAUACUGGAUGUAUUAUGUUAGCAUGGUACACAUACAGACUGUAGAAAACAUGGGCAUGAUCUCAGCAGUUCCUGACUCUACGUAACUCAUGGUUAAUUUUAAAAUGUGGAAACAGGUGGAGCUUAGUUUGGCAGCAUGAAGCUUUGUUGCUGACAGCUAGCUAGAUGGCUAGCGGAUAGCUUAAAACUGUAACAAUCUUGAUUAUGCAUAAAUGUAAUUCUUGAUAUGAUAAAAACAAAUUAGUUACAUAAAAAUUCACCAGCCAUUCAGUGUCAUGAAUGGAGAUAUUUUGUUCAGUUUAGUGUUUUUGUACCAGGAUGUAAACAUAUUUGUUUCUGCUGUAAAUUCUAAUAUGGGAGUCCAUCAGGACUGACCCGCUUUUGGAGCCGCCCUAAAGGGGCCAUUUGAGAUACUGCAGAUUUUGGUGCUUGUGCCUUGGCUUCAUUUCUUCGCCCCAGAGUUCGCAGCUUGGGUACAUAUUGAUAACACAGCAACAGAAAGCUCAAACAUUAAUGGUCAUUUUUUGUCAUUGGUUUGUUUUUGGUGAAUGGUGUAGGUUGAAGAACAGCCGUUUUCAACAUCCAGGACUUACAAGUAUGUUUGACAUAUAUUUUAAUGAUUUUUAUGAAUAAUCAAAAAUAUAUUACAUUGUCCAGAAGUGUUCAAUGUAUAUUGCCUACAUUUUGUUGGAUGUUGCAAACAAUGACAUCAGCAUUUUUGUUCACCAGAUCCCAAACUGUAUAUCUUCUCAUGUACAGAGGUAAGAUUGCAAGAAUACGUAAGAAAUCAUUUAGACCAUGAAUGUAAUAUCAACAGACCAUUGGUAGAUAUAUUUAGUUUUUUCUCUUGACUUUAAAGCCACGGAGUCUCAGAUGCCCAGUGAGAAUAGUGAGCAGGAUAAAUCGACACAAGAAGAAAAGAAUCAAGUGGCAGUGGACACUAAGGAUGAAAAGAGGAAGAAAAUAGAGCAGGAGGAUGACAAUGCGAUACACACAAAAACAGGUGAGAUAUCAGUCUCUGAUCAAUAUAAAUCAACUAUUUAACCUUCUCAUGAAAACCACUUCAUUCAUCACAGUGAACUAUAUCUGUU